GACGAACGCUGGCGGCGUGCUUAACACAUGCAAGUCGAACGAGACGAUUUAGAAGCUUGCUUUUAAUGAGUCGAGUGGCAAACGGGUGAGUAACGCGUAGACAACCUGCCGCAAAGAUGGGGACAACAGUCCGAAAGGACUGCUAAUACCGAAUGUUGUAUCUCCUCUGCAUGGAAGAGAUAUUAAAGAUGGCCUCUACUUGUAAGCUAUCGCUUUGCGAUGGGUCUGCGUCUGAUUAGCUAGUUGGUGGGGCAACGGCCUACCAAGGCGACGAUCAGUAGCCGGUCUGAGAGGAUGAACGGCCACAUUGGAACUGAGACACGGUCCAGACUCCUACGGGAGCAGCAGUGGGAAUCUCCGCAACUGGCGAAAGCCUGACGGAGCAACGCCGCGUGAGUGAAGAAGGUCUUCGGGAUCGUAAAGCUCUGUUGUCGGGGACGAAUGUUGAGAUCUAGAAUAUAGAUUUCAAAU
rnacentral:rRNA from 1 species